rnacentral:rRNA from 1 species
UACGUAGGGGCCGGAGCGUUGUCCGGAGUACUGGGCGUAAAGCGCGCGCAGGCGGCUCGCUUUGCCCGGCGUGAAAGCCCCCGGCUCAACCGGGGGAGGGUCGUCGGGGACGGGCGAGCUUGAGGCCGGCAGGGGCAGGUGGAACUGUAGGUGGAGCGGUGAAAUGCGUUGAUAUCUACAGGAACUCCGGUGGCGAAAGCGGCGUGCUGGACCUUUUCUGACGCUGAGGCGCGAAAGCUAGGGGAGCAAACGGGG